rnacentral:lncRNA from 1 species
UGGGACGGAGGUAGUAGAAAAUAGUCGCACAAACUUGUAAUAUUUCGGUGGGCAAAAAAUGUGCCCCCACGCGACUUUGAACCCGCGCCCGCAUGUAGAAGUAGGAGCGUAACCACUGGGCCAAGACGCCUUAGUUGCUUAAGUCAACAUGUGUGUUUUAUUUCUACGUUUCUUACCUGGGAACAAACAAGAAUAGCACUGUUACGAGACUUGAAUGACGCAAUCGUUUAGCCAAAACAGCAUGCAGAUAUGACACAAAAUAUAUUCUAGAGCAUCAUAGAUUUAACAAUGUAAAUAACAUCUAUAAUAUAACAGAUUCGCUAAGAACAGUUUUCCUAAAAGGCCUUGCACCCAGUUAUGAUCAAUUGCAACUCACUGAGGCUGUUGCAUCAAAAACACAAACAUUCAACAGAGAUAGGUAGAUAAAAGAUAAGUAUAUUUUACAUAAAAUGUGUACCACAGAAGUGACAGCAACAACUGGCAUACAUUACUUAACUCUAGCUAUUAAAGCUUUUGGGUUCACAAUCAUUGCAGACCAUAUUACAAAGCAUAGUUCACCUGACAUCCAUCCAUCCACACAUCAGGCACAAGCACGUACACAAAAGCAGUACUUAACUAUUACAUAAUUAAGUUAUUAAGUCAGACAUAUUUGAACAACUAUAUAUCCUAGCUAGGGACACCACGCAUUCUUUCACAUAUUAUCAUCUGUUGAUGAUUCAUCUGGCCUUGGUGAGUACCGGUGGUGAUACUGGCGCUUGAGGAGGACACGCAAAUUCUCGCCCUUUUUCUUCAACUGUCAUUACACAAAGGGGCAAGUUAGCAUAUAGAUAAUUGAACCUUAGGAAUUGUAAUAUGUUCAGGAGCCAUAUAUCACCUCCUUGGCCAUCGGAAGCAGCCAGUCUCCUGUCUCCUCAUCGCUGUCAUGCGAAAAGGAGCACUCAACUGUCAUCUUCUUAUUGAUGAUGAACUUUAUAUGGCGGCCUUUGGGGGAAACUGCAUUAAAAAAAUCAGUCACUAUUAGAUUUAGAAACAUGGAUGAUUGCAAGUGCUAAAUUAAUCUCAAACAAUAUAUCUGAUGAUCACAUUUCAGCUAGUGUUGGACUUUAAUGACUUAAAACCAAAGGUUGGCAAAUCCAUCCAGCAGCUGUACAUAUUGUUCUGCUAUUUCAUAUGCAUUGUUAACAAUUUUCUGGUUUGUUUUAGGGCCGUAUUCUGCAUUGUUAACCAUCAUAUGGACAUGAUGAGGGAACUCGACCUACGAGCCUACCAUUGGUUAGAAAAUUUGGA